rnacentral:misc_RNA from 1 species
GAAGUCGUUACUCCAACCCUCUGGGAGGAGGACGCCGAAGGUGGGGCUGAUGACUGGGGUGAAGUCGUAACAAGGUAGCCGUACCGGAAGGUGCGGCUGGAUCACCUCCUAACAGGGAGAACCAACUUCAAAUGAUGGUCACAUUUUUUUCGUGAUCCAUUUGACUGUUCAACCCUAUGGUCGAUCGGUACCUCAAUGAACGAGAUGUUAUCUCGCUCAUCUCGGUUCUUAAGCUUGUCUAGGUCACUACCCCACAGCUGAUAAGCUGUGGAAGAUGGGCCCGAAAGGGUUCCUGGGCCAUUAGCUCAGGUGGUUAGAGCGCACCCCUGAUAAGGGUGAGGUCCCUGGUUCAAGUCCAGGAUGGCCCAUCGGGAUUGGGGGUUUAGCUCAGCUGGUAGAGCGCCUGCUUUGCAAGCAGGAUGUCAGCGGUUCGAGUCCGCUAACCUCCAUCAAUUCUGAUGUGGGAAACGGCAGAACGUGAUGGUGAUCUAGAGGAAGGUUUGUUGGUGAAUCCAGCCUCGUUUGAUACUCGGUAGUCGAGCUCAAAUGAUGCUGGACUCAGCAAUGGGUUCAGCAAGAACCCUGACAACUGCAUAGGUGAGUCUGGAAAU